rnacentral:piRNA from 1 species
UGAGAUCAGAAACUCCGUUCAUUGCC